GAUGAACGCUGGCGGCGUGCCUAAUACAUGCAAGUAGAACGCUGAAGGAAGGAGCUUGCUCUUUCCGGAUGAGUUGCGAACGGGUGAGUAACGCGUAGGUAACCUGCCUGGUAGCGGGGGAUAACUAUUGGAAACGAUAGCUAAUACCGCAUAACAGUAGAUGUUGAAUGAUAUCUACUUAAAAGGUGCAAUUGCACCACUACCAGAUGGACCUGCGUUGUAUUAGCUAGUUGGUGAGGUAACGGCUCACCAAGGCGACGAUACAUAGCCGACCUGCGAGGGUGCUCUGCCACACUGGGACUGGGACACGGCCCAGACUCCUACGGGAGGCAGCCGUAGGGAAUCUCCGGCAAUGGACGGAAGUCUGACCGAGCAACGCCGCGUGAGUGAAGAAGGUUUUCGGAUCGUGAAGCUCUGUUGUAAGAGAGGAACGAGUGUGAGUGUGGAAAGUUCACACUGUGACGGUAUCUUACCAAAAAGGGACGGCUAACUACGUG
rnacentral:rRNA from 1 species